CCAAAAAUGCACUCAUCCCCCAAGGACCCCAGGCCAGCACAAAGGGCCAGUUCUUUCUCGGGCUGCUCUGGGUGGCCUCCUUCUUGCCCACUGCCUUUGACUCGUGGCCUCAUUCACAGGACUGGGAGGGCUAGCUGAGGAUUUUCCCAUGUGGUUGGGUGGGAGGCAGGCUGGGAGGGCAUGAGUUGGCCGAAGGAGGGUGGAGCUGAGCCUUUAGAAUCUUCCCCAAGUUUGACUUAUCCUGGUGGUGCGGGGGAUGCGAACAGCUUACUUAAGAUCUUAAAACCUAAAGAAUACUAUCCGAUUGGCAGGGAAGAUUCGGAUUAGACUUCAGGAAGACUGUGCAGACAGGACAGUCACCAUGUAGAAUGUUUGGUCCUGAGGACAGACAGAGUCGGCGUUCUUCCUGGGUCUAAUAGGAGCCUGAGAAACAGUGAUGCCAAAGACCUCAAGCAGCACCUGUGAUGGGAAAAGAUGACGGUGCUGGUCAGAAUGGCUCCUGUCCAGACCCAACUUGCUCAUACUCAGCUCUAUGAUGAGAAGCAGGACUUCUUGUCCCAAGCCGUAACAGGGGGUAGGAACCAUCUCAGGAUAAGGAAGUGCUCCGUCUGCCUUGUCCCACUUCUGUGACUGCAGAGUAUCUGACUAGAUGACCAAUUGGCUGGCUGGCGGAUGGAUGGAUGGGUGAAAUCCAUGUAGGAGAGCAGGAAAGCUCCCCCAGAAGAACUGGCAUGAAGAAGAAGAUGGUUAUGCUUCGGAACCUUUAAGAGUCCCGGGUCUGGAAUCAAUGAGCUGAGAAUUAUCUUUCAGGCCUUCUUUUCCUUCCUUCCAGCGAUUAACUCAACUCUAUCUAAACUUCCCCCAGCCCAAUUUUCUGCCUGGGCUGAAUGGCUGCUCACCCAGCAGUCCCUGCCGCUGCUUCUUUUCCGCUCUCUCUCCCAGCCCGCUGCCUCUCCAAUCCUCUUCCCCACCACACCCUUGGAUUUACGUAACUGAGUAAUUGUGUGAUGCUAUAAAACUAAUUUGCACUUCUGCUUGGGCGGGGAAGUGACCAGAGCUUUGCAGUGCCUUAAAAGGCAGAGGAAAGGAGCCCACCCCAACCCCAGGUCCCCCUCAGACUCAAAGACCUAGUGGCCAGCCCCAUCUGCAAGGGCCCAGCACCAGCAGCUGUACCAUAAACCAGGCCAAACACCAGUCACAGGAAGAAAUUAAAAGAAACAUUCUCCCGCUGCUGCAAAGACAAACCCCCUAUCGCAUUCUCCCCAUCUCCAGAUAGAGGCCACUGGUUCAGUCUCCCUUUCAACUGUCUAGGGCUCUGUUAGCACCUGUUUUCCUUGUCACAGAUUGGGAAGUAGUUCUCUUCCUGCCAA